rnacentral:rRNA from 1 species
GUUAGGAAUAUUCGUCAAUGGGGGAAACCCUGAACGAGCAAUGCCGCGUGAGUGAUGACGGUCCUUUGGAUUGUAAAACUCUGUUGUUAGGGAAGAACGACCUAUAUAGGAAAUGAUAUAGGAGUGACGGUACCUUUCAAGAAAGCUCCGGCUAACUACGUGCCAGCAGCCGCGGUAAUACGUAGGGAGCGAGCGUUAUCCGGAUUUAUUGGGUGUAAAGCGUGUGUAGGCGGUUAGAUAAGUCUAAGGUUUAAGCCCGGAGCUCAACUCCGGUUCGCCUUAGAAACUGUCUUACUUGAGUUUGGUAGAGGCAAGUGGAAUUUCUAGUGUAGCGGUAAAAUGCGUAGAUAUUAGAAGGAACACCAGUGGCGAAGGCGGCUUGCUGGGCCAACACUGACGCUGAGACACGAAAGCGUGGGGAGCAAAUAGGA